rnacentral:rRNA from 1 species
GAUGAACGCUGGCGGCGUGCCUAAUACAUGCAAGUCGAGCGAACGGACGAGAAGCUUGCUUCUCUGAUGUUAGCGGCGGACGGGUGAGUAACACGUGGAUAACCUACCUAUAAGACUAGGAUAACUUCGGGAAACCGGAGCUAAUUCCGGAUGAUAUUUUGAACCGCAUGGUUCAAAAGUGAAAGACGGUCUUGCUGUCACUUAUAGAUGGAUCCGCGCUGCAUUAGCUAGUUGGUAAGGUAACGGCUUACCAAGGCAACGAUGCAUAGCCGACCUGAGAGGGUGAUCGGCCACACUGGAACUGACACACGGUCCAGACUCCUACGGGAGGCAGCAGUAGGGAAUCUUCCGCAAUGGGCGAAAGCCUGACGGAGCAACGCCGCGUGAGUGAUGAAGGUCUUCGGAUCGUAAAACUCUGUUAUUAGGGAAGAACAUAUGUGUAAGUAACUGUGCACAUCUUGACGGUACCUAAUCAGAAAGCCACGGCUAACUACGUG